UACGUAGGGGGCAAGCGUUGUCCGGAGUUACUGGGCGUAAAGCGCACGCAGGCGGUCCUCUGCGUAGAGGGUGACAGUCCUCGGCUUAACUGAGGAAGCGCUCUUUAAACGGGGGGACUUGAGGGCCAGAGAGGGAGACGGAACUCCGGGUGGAGCGGUGAAAUGCGUAGAGAUCCGGAAGAACACCGAAGGCGAAGGCAGUCUCCUGGCUGGUUCCUGACGCUCAGGUGCGAAAGCUAGGGGAGCAAACAGG
rnacentral:rRNA from 1 species